rnacentral:rRNA from 1 species
CCUACGGGAGGCAGCAGUGAGGAAUAUUGGUCAAUGGGCGUAAGCCUGAACCAGCCAAGCCGCGUGAGGGAUGAAGGUUCUAUGGAUCGUAAACCUCUUUUAUAAGGGAAUAAAGUGCGGGACGUGUCCCCUUCUGUAUGUACCUUAUGAAUAAGGAUCGGCUAACUCCGUGCCAGCAGCCGCGGUAAUACGGAGGAUCCGGGCAUUAUCCGGAUUUAUUGGGUUUAAAGGGUGCGUAGGCGGCCUUUUAAGUCAGCGGUGAAAGGCUGUGGCUCAACCAUAGAAUUGCCGUUGAAACUGGGAGGCUUGAGUGUGUUUGAGGCAGGCGGAAUGCGUGGUGUAGCGGUGAAAUGCUUAGAUAUCACGCAGAACCCCGAUUGCGAAGGCAGCCUGCCGGGCCAUGACUGACGCUGAUGCACGAAAGCGUGGGGAUCAAACAGGAUUAGAUACCCUUGUAGUC